rnacentral:rRNA from 1 species
ACUCCUACGGGAGGCAGCAGUGGGGAAUAUUGGACAAUGGGGGCAACCCUGAUCCAGCAAUGCCGCGUGGGUGAAGAAGGCCUUCGGGUUGUAAAGCCCUUUCGGCUGGGAAGAAAAGCUUACGGUUAAUAACUGUGAGUCUUGACGUUACCAGAAGAAGAAGCACCGGCUAACUCUGUGCCAGCAGCCGCGGUAAU